UCCAUAAUUCUAGAACCCUCCAUCUUCCUCAUUAGCACAAAAUAGACUCCAAAUUUUCUAACCCUUCUGAAUAGAAGAAUCGAGUUCUUCCAUCUCUCUUCCUCCAACCCCAACAACAAUGAAUCAUAUGAUUCUUCAUAAGCCUUAAGAGUGAGGUCAAUAUGCUGCAUUCUCAAAGGGAUUCAUGUGUCCUUCGUCAUAUUUCUCGAGAUAUUCAAUGAUGCUUUACUCAAUGGUUGAAUGUGCAUCAUCACUCGCUCGACUUAGACCAGAUGUGGUAUUUGCUCACAAGCUUGAAUAGAAUAUAUUUAUUUAUAUUCAAACUCACUACCGCAAGUGUAAUAUGCUUCACAUUUCCAAUAUAUCAAGUAUUUUGGUUCAGCUAAGACAACUAACAUGAGUGCAGAACAAAUAUGGAUAUUUGUUAGUGCUAAUUGUCCCAGGUACGUUAUUCCUCUUUGUCUCUAAUAUUAUGAAAUGACAAUACAUGAGUUUAUCAUUGAUUCUACUUAUUUACGAGACUUGUCUGACAAAUUUUUCAAUGAAAGGUGUACUUCAUGAAGAGUCUCUUAUUACUUAUCCAAAAAGAUAUAGGUCAUUUAGAGUCGGUUUUGAAAAUAAUAUUGUUAUUCUAAAGAAGUUAAAUUUGUUUAGAGUACUAAUUUUGGCUAUCUGUUUC